AUUGAACGCUGGCGGCAGGCUUAACACAUGCAAGUCGAGCGGGGUGAUGGUGCUUGCACUACCACAUAGCGGCGGACGGGUGAGUAAUGCUUAGGAAUCUGCCUAUUAGUGGGGGACAACAUCUCGAAAGGGAUGCUAAUACCGCAUACGUCCUACGGGAGAAAGCAGGGGAUCACUUGUGACCUUGCGCUAAUAGAUGAGCCUAAGUCGGAUUAGCUAGUUGGGUGGGUAAAGGCCUACCAAGGCGACGAUCUGUAGCGGGUCUGAGAGGAGGAGCCGCCACACUGGGACUGGGGCAAGGGCCAGAGUCCUACGGGAGGCAGCAGUGGGGAAUAUUGGACAAUGGGGGGAACCCUGAUCCAGCCAUGCCGCGUGUGUGAAGAAGGCCUUAUGGUUGUAAAGCACUUUAAGCGAGGAGGAGGCUCUUUUGGUUAAUACCCAAGAUGAGUGGACGUUACUCGCAGAAUAAGCACCGGCUAACUCUGUGCCAGCCGCCGCAGUAA
rnacentral:rRNA from 1 species